rnacentral:lncRNA from 1 species
UAGCUUAUCUAAUUAUACUAAAAAAAAUGAGAAUGAAGAAAUGAAAAAAGAAAAAAAACAAAAAUUAGAGGAACGGGAUAGAAUAAACCGAUGUUGGAAACAAUUUUUUGAAGAAAAAACAUUAAAACAUUAUCUAGAAAAUGGUUCUGUUUUAUAUCCUCUUUUAAAAAACAUAUAUAAAAUAUUAAUUAUAUUACACGAUAAUAUACAUAGAAUAAAUUUAGAACGUAAUGAAUUGAAAAAUUUAUUUGAAUCUUCAUUUUUUUUUUAAUAAAAAAUAAUGAAAAAUUAUUUUUUAAUUUUAUUAUUAAUAAAAAUUUUUUACUAACUCCAGAUGAAAUAUUAUAUAUACUUAAAAAAAAUAGAAAAACAGAACAAAACAGAUAUAACUGUUAAAAAUUAUAUAAAAAAAUAUGUUUUCAAUUAUAUAAAAAAUGAUAAAAAUAAUAAAAAUGUUAAUACUACUUUGAUUGAAGUAUAUAUGAAUAAUUCCAAAAAAAGUAUACAAUUUAGGCAUGAGAAAAUAUUAAAAAUUAUACUUUUGGACUACCCUAUAGAUAUAUAUUAUAUACUUCGAAUUAUCGAUGAAAAGAAGUUUGGUUUGAUUAAGGCAUUAUUGUAUGGAAAGAUACAUAAGCAUUACGAAAGUCUAUCUAUUUUAUCCGAACAAAACAUUACGGCUUGCGAAAAAUACUGUCACUAUUACAAUUUUAUAUUAAAAGAAAAAGUAAAAAAAUUAGAUGAAAAGAGUUACGAGAAUUUGUAUUACAGCAUAUACACAAAUAAUAAAAAAGUAUAUAAACUUUUAUUUGAGAAUGAUAAUAUACAUAAUGAUAUAUCCCUUCGGACAAUGCAACACAACAAAGAAAAAAAAGGAGAAAAAAAGGGACAAAAUAUGGGACAAAAAAAAAAAAUACAAAAUAUGUAUCUUACAAGUAUGAUUAAUGAGUAUCAUAAGCAUUGUUAUAACAAUAUGAACAAAAAAAUUAAAUCCAAACAAGACAAAAAUAAAAAAAAAUUUAUAAAAAAAGAUGAAAAAGAUGAAAACACAAACAAUAAACAAAUAGAUAAACAAAUAGAUAAACAAAUAGAUAAACGAAUAGAUAAACGAAUAGAUAAACAAAUAGAUAAACAAAUAGAUAAACAAAUAGAAAAAGAAUAUGAUUAUAUGUUAAAUAUAAUUAAUGAAAAUAAAAUAAACUCUGGAUCUGACUCUGGAUCUGAGUCAAGUUCUGAUUUAAGCUCCAAUCAAAACUCAUACGAAAAUUCAGAUCAACACGAAUAUUCAGAAAUGAAUAAUUCGAAUGAUGAUUAUUCAUGUAGUUUUUCACAAAGCCUUUCAAGUGAUAUGAGUUCUGACACAUGUUCUGACUCGUCAUCACUUUCUGACUCGGAUCAUACAAACACGGACAGUUCUAACAGCCAAAACAGCCAAAACAGCCAAAACAACUUACACAACGUCAAAAAAAGAAAAAAAAAAAAAAAAAAAACAAAUAGAAAAAAAAAAGGAAACAAUACUAUAUACAAAAAAACAAUUAAAAAAUAAAGACAUAGAUAUAUUUCAAUAUUUUAAUGUACACAAAAGUUACAAAAACUAUUCUUGUGGUUUUUUAUUUUUACUUCUUAAGGUGUAUAUAGAUAAAUAUAAUGAAACAUGUAGGAAUGUGGAAAAAGCGGAAAAAAUGGAAAAAAUGGAAAAAAUGGAAAAAAU